rnacentral:sRNA from 1 species
CUUCUUCGAUUUGUUGCGGGCAAAUAAAAUGGAUGUGCGAGUCAAUGCCACCCGCAGUGAGAAUCGAACCUUCUCCGGCGAGCACUUCCGUACCCGGGCCGACAACGAUCGUCACUCCCUGCUGCACAUCUGGGUUGCCCGCUUUACCGAGCGCUUGAAUACGGCCAUCUUUGAUCGCCACGUCGGCUUUGACGAUGCCCCAAUAAUCUAAAACAAUAGCGUUGGUGAUCACGAGAUCCGGCGUUUCUGCCGAAGGUCUUUGGCUCUGCCCCAUCCCGUCUCGAAUG